rnacentral:tRNA from 1 species
GAUGUUGUAGCUCAGCGGUAGAGUGCCCGCGUAGCACAUGCGAGGUGCUGGGUUUAAUCCUCAGCACCACA